UUCCGGUUGAUCCUGCCGGAGGCUACUGCUAUUGGAAUCCGAUUAAGCCAUGCGAGUCUAAAGGACUUCGGUCCUUGGCGGACGGCUCAGUAACACGUGGAGAACCUGCCCUCAGGAGGGGGAUAACCCCGGGAAACUGGGAAUAAUACCCCAUAGGUCUAGGAUGCUGGAAUGCUUCUAGGCUGAAAGCUCCGGCGCCUGAGGAUGGCUCUGCGGCUUAUCAGGUUGUAGUGAGGGUAACGUCCUCACUAGCCUAUGACGGGUACGGGCCCUGAGAGGGGAAGCCCGGAGAUGGACUCUGAGACACGAGUCCAGGCCCUACGGGGCGCAGCAGGCGCGAAAACUCCGCAAUGCUCGAAAGAGUGACGGGGGGAUUCCAAGUGCCUACGCUCAGCGUAGGCUGUUCAGAUGCCUAAAAAGCAUCUGGAGUAAGGGCUGGGUAAGACGGGUGCCAUCUGUGGCAGCAGCCGAAAAUUUGGCUUGCUACUGCAAGGCAUAAGCCGCCGCGGUAAUACCCGCAGCUCGAGUGGUAGUCGAUUUUAUUGGGCCUAAAGCGUCCGUAUCCGGUCUGGUAAAUGCUUGGGUAAAUCGUCUGGCUUAACCAGAUGAAUUCCGGGUAGACUACCAGACUUGGGACCGGUUGAGGAAGAGGGUACUUCAGGGGUAGGAGUGAAAUCCUGUAAUCCUUGAAGGACCACCAGUGGCGAAGGCGCUCUUCUA
rnacentral:rRNA from 1 species